rnacentral:tRNA from 1 species
CGGGACAUAGCUCAGCAGCAGAGCGCGCCGUUCGGGACGGUGAGGUCGCAGGUGCAAACCCUGUUGUCCCGA